GUACUGUUAAUCGCAUGAUUUGAUAGUUAAAGCCUUCGGUGGUUAUAGAUGGGUAUGCGUAAGAUUAGCUAGUUGGUAAGGUAACGGCUUACCAAGGCGACGAUCUUUAGGGGGCCUGAGAGGNUGAUCCCCNACACUGGUACUGAGACACGGACCAGACUCCUACGGGAGGCAGCAGUGAGGAAUAUUGGUCAAUGGAGGCAACUCUGAACCAGCCAUGCCGCGUGUAGGAAGACUGCCUAUGGGUUGUAAACUACUUUUAUUCAGGAAGAAACCCAGAUACGUGUAUCUGGNUGACGGUACUGAAAGAAUAAG
rnacentral:rRNA from 1 species